ACCUUCACCCCCAAACCCUUCCUCUUAACGGUUUCACGCCCUGUUGAACUCUCUCUUCAAAGUUCUUUUCAACUUUCCCUUACGGUACUUGUCGACUAUCGAUCGGAAGACCGUCC